AUUGAACGCUGGCGGCAGGCUUAACACAUGCAAGUCGAGCGGGGGAAGGUAGCUUGCUACUGGACCUAGCGGCGGACGGGUGAGUAAUGCUUAGGAAUCUGCCUAUUAGUGGGGGACAACAUCUCGAAAGGGAUGCUAAUACCGCUUACGUCCUACGGGAGAAAGCAGGGGAUCACUUGUGACCUUGCGCUAAUAGAUGAGCCUAAGUCGGAUUAGCUAGUUGGUGGGGUAAAGGCCUACCAAGGCGACGAUCUGUAGCGGGUCUGAGAGGAUGAUCCGCGACACUGGGACUGAGACACGGCCCAGACUCCUACGGGAGGCAGCAGUGGGGAAUAUUGGAGAAUGGGGGGAACCCUGAUCCAGCCAUGCCGCGUGUGUGAAGAAGGCCUUAUGGUUGUAAAGCACUUUAAGCGAGGAGGAGGCUCUUUUGGUUAAUACCCAAGAUGAGUGGACGUUACUCGCAGAACAAGCACCGGCUAACUCUGUGCCAGCCGCCGCCGUAA
rnacentral:rRNA from 1 species